rnacentral:rRNA from 1 species
AGUGAACGCUGGCGGUAGGCCUAACACAUGCCAGUCGAACGGCAGCACAGUAAGAGCUUGCUCUUACGGGUGGCGAGUGGCGGACGGGUGAGGAAUACAUCGGAAUCUACUUUUUCGUGGGGGAUUACGUAGGGAAACUUACGCUAAUACCGCAUACGACCUACGGGUGAAAGCAGGGGAUCUUCGGACCUUGCGCGAUUGAAUGAGCCGAUGUCGGAUUAGCUAGUUGGCGGGGUAAAGGCCCACCAAGGCGACGAUCCGUAGCUGGUCUGAGAGGAUGAUCAGCCACACUGGAACUGAGACACGGUCCAGACUCCUACGGGAGGCAGCAGUGGGGAAUAUUGGACAAUGGGCGCAAGCCUGAUCCAGCCAAACCGCGUGGGUGAAGAAGGCCUUCGGGUUGUAAAGCCCUUUUGUUGGGAAAGAAAAGCAGCAGGUUAAUACCCCGCUGUUCUGACGGUACCCAAAGAAUAAGCACCGGCUAACUUCGUG